GACGAACGCUGGCGGCGUGCUUAACACAUGCAAGUCGAACGGAAAGGCCCUGCUUUUGUGGGGUGCUCGAGUGGCGAACGGGUGAGUAACACGUGAGUAACCUGCCCUUGACUUUGGGAUAACUUCAGGAAACUGGGGCUAAUACCGGAUAGGAGCUCCUGCUGCAUGGUGGGGGUUGGAAAGUUUCGGCGGUUGGGGAUGGACUCGCGGCUUAUCAGCUUGUUGGUGGGGUAGUGGCUUACCAAGGCUUUGACGGGUAGCCGGCCUGAGAGGGUGACCGGCCACAUUGGGACUGAGAUACGGCCCAGACUCCUACGGGAGGCAGCAGUGGCGAAUAUUGCACAAUGGGCGGAAGCCUGAUGCAGCAACGCCGCGUGCGUGAUGACGGCCUUCGGGUUGUAAACCGCUUUCGCCUGUGACGAAGCGUGAGUGACGGUAAUGGGUAAAGAAGCACCGGCUAACUACGUG
rnacentral:rRNA from 1 species